AAAGUAGAAUGCUUCUGCUACAUGAAUAUGGGCUGUUUUUGACAAUACAAUGCACAUAUAUCGGGUAAUAGCAUCAUUAAGUCAUGCUAAAUUACUGAAAUCUUCACAAUUUGAGCAUUUUAGUUAAGUUUUAGAUGGUUUCCGUCUAAAAUGAAAGUGGCCGCAUUCGUGUUCAUUCAUAAUAUUGAAAUUUAAGUUGUAUUUGAUA
rnacentral:lncRNA from 1 species